rfam:Gossypium raimondii Chr10_contig_1182, whole genome shotgun sequence.
UGUUAAAAAUUUCAUCCAUUUGUAUUGUCAAAAACUGACAUGGCUGACGGGAUAAUCAGAUUAUGAUACUUGAUGUGCCACAUGUAUCUCAUGUUGAUAUAUAAGAAACAAUUUUUUAAUAACAUAAAUAGAUAAAAAUUUUAACC